rnacentral:rRNA from 1 species
GAGUUUGAUCUUGGCUCAGAGCGAACGUUAGCGGCGGGCCUAACACAUGCAAGUCGAGCGAGAAAAGGGCUUCGGCCCUUAGUAAAGCGGCGGACGGGUGAGUAACACGUAGGUAAUCUUCCCUUGAGCGGGGGACAACGAGCCGAAAGGCUCGCUAAUACCGCAUACGUUUCUCGGGACUCCGGUCCUGGGAAGGAAAGCUAGGCCGCAAGGUCCGGCACUCGAGGAGGAGCCUGCGUCGCAUCAGCUAGUUGGUGGGGUAACGGCCUACCAAGGCGAAGACGCGUAGCUGGUCUGAGAGGAUGAUCAGCCACACUGAAACUGAGACACGGUUCAGACUCCUACGGGAGGCAGCAGUGGGGAAUAUUGGACAAUGGGCGCAAGCCUGAUCCAGCCACGCCGCGUGAGUGAUGAAGGCCUCGGUCGUAA